rnacentral:rRNA from 1 species
CCUACGGGAGGCAGCAGUGAGGAAUAUUGGUCAAUGGCCGGAAGGCUGAACCAGCCAUGCCGCGUGAAGGUCAGUGCCCUAUGGGCGUUAAACUUCUUUUGUGCGGGAGCAAUAAUGGUCACGUGUGGCCAGACGAGAGUACCGUACGAAUAAGCAUCGGCUCACUCCGUGCCAGCAGCCGCGGUAAUACGGGGGGUGCAAGCGUUAUCCGGAAUUAAUGGGGUUAAAGGGUGCGUAGGCUGUGAGUGAAGUCUGCGGUGGAAGGCCCCCGCUCAACGGGGUGAAGUGCCAUGGAUACUGCCUGGCUGGAAUGCGGAUGCGGUGAGAGGAAUGUGUGGUGUAGCGGUGAAAUGCAUAGAUAUCACACAGAACACCGAUUGCGAAGGCAUCUCACGAAUCCGCGAUUGACGCUGAUGCACGAAAGCGUGGGUAUCAAACAGGAUUAGAUACCCCAGUAGUC